UGGAGGCAGCUUACACAUGCAAGUCCUCCGGAUGGAGGCAACCCCAUUAGUGGCGGACGGGUGAGUAACGCGUAGGUAUCUAUCCUUGGGUGGGGGAUAACUGUGGGAAACUACAGAGUAAUACCGCAUGAUCCCUGAGGGGCAAAGGCGCAAGUCGCCUGAGGAGGAGCCUGCGUCCGAUUAGCUAAUUGGUGGGGUAAAGGCCUACCAAGGCUGCGAUAGGUAGCUGGUCUGAGAGGAUGAUCAGCCACACUGGGACUGAGACACGGCCCAGACUCCUACGGGAGGCUAGCAGUGGGGAAUAUUGGACAAUGGGCGCAAGCCUGAUCCAGCAAUGCCGCGUGGGUGAAGAGGGUCUUCGGAUUGUAAAGCCCUUUCGGCGGGGACGAUGGGGACGGUACCAGCAGAAGAAGCCCCGGCUAAGCUUCGUGCCAGCAGCCGCGGUAAU
rnacentral:rRNA from 1 species